rnacentral:lncRNA from 1 species
CCCCAUCUUCUUCCCCUUCAACCAAAAUUCAAGGCCUGCACAGGGAAUCCACAAAAAUCCUCUCCCUUCUCCUUCAAAACCGAACAGCCCCCUCCCCGUUUUCAUUUUCUUUUCUUCCCCAAACCAGCACCACCCACAACACCGAUCGACCUCUCCCUUUCCCCAAGACUAGCAGCUCCAUUUUCUUUUCCAGCAACACGCCGAACACUCCCCUCUUUCGGCCAUUCCUUCUUCCCAGCUCUCAUCGCCGGACACGGCGACGCCUCCUCCAACAAGCAACACGCCGGACAGAAGCCAGAGCAGUUCCCCUUCGCUGUACCAUCUCGCCGUUUGCAUCGCCAUCUUCCCCGACCUCUCCUCUCCGUCCAGCCUCCGACAGCAACAGCGACCACCACAGCAAACCCCAGCAGCGCCGUCCACAGAUCGGCAGCCACCACCACAGACCAGCCACAACUCCGCCGUCCGAAGAUCCAGCAACCAGCAGAGGAACGAAGACAGAGGCGAGAUCGAUCUGAAGAAGGAAAAGAACCGAUCUGCUUCUGCAGAUAAAAAAGAAGCAGAUCUGUAACGGGAAGAAAAAUAAAAACCGAUUGUUGUUUGUGAGUUUUUUUUGUUGUUGCAGGUGGCGGUGA